rnacentral:lncRNA from 1 species
CGGGCUUUCCCCUUCGUUCUCCCUCCCCGAUCGCCUCCUGCCCACACGCAGCCUCCAAGGCUGACCUCAGGCCCGUCAGCCCGCAGUGCCCUCUGGACACCCAGACCGUCAUCGCUGAGGAGACAGUCCAGAGCUGGACCUACACGCUGGCCCUGAGCCGCCCUGUCCUGACCCGAGCUCUGUGUCCUCGGGGGCCUGGGCACACCUCCAACUGUCUCACCCCAGCGUGCAUCCAGCAGGCGCUCUGCAGAGCAGGCGCUGAGCAACCCAUCCGAGAUUAAGACGAGCAGGGCUCCUCGUCGCCCCCGGGGGUGGGGGCUGAGGAGGGGCNCCAAGGCACAAGUGAGGCCUGCUCCCGGGCCUUCCAGGUGGGGCCGGCCUCACUCUCCCAGGCCAGAAGGGGCCAGCUCCCCUGACGGCCCAGCUGGAGACGCUCCGGGCCGAGCAGUGAGGCCUGUGGCUGCUGGCCUGGGGGAGGGGGUCGCGACCUUGGGAGGUGAGGGCAUGGUGGCCCGCGGACACAGAGGAUAUCCCGGACCCCACAGAGGCGCUUACAGCUCCUGCAGGCGGCCCAGCGUCCGGAUGGCCACGGGGAACUCGUGCAGCUGGUUGUAGUUCAGGUCUCUGGAAAGGAGGCGGCGGUCACUGGGGGCAGCUCCCGGGGGUCAGGGCCCAGGCAACGGACGCUGGGCUCUGAGCUGGCUGAAGGGAGGGCCCGCUUGGCCGCAGAUCCGUCUGCGGGAAUACUGUGCUGAUGCGCAGAACCAGCCCUUCAGAAGGGCCCAGGGCUGAGAAGAGUCUUGGGCCUCGGGGACAGUGGUGGCUAGGAGGGGCCCGGGAGCAGGGGGAGGGUAAAACUGGAGCCCCCCGGGG